GAAACCCAGGGGGAUGGAGCACAGUAGAAACAACAGCCCAGCAGGAACAGCUCUCAGAGCAGGCUGUAAAUGCUGAUAAAACAUUAUCUCCAUCAGUCUUCAGCAAUUCCAAAAAACUACAGCCAAUGUGCCAGCAGUCAAAAAGUUAUUUUGUUGCUCCUGGAAGUACAUUUCGCCUUUUCCUGCUGUCCUAGUCUCUCCUGUGGACACUGGUGCAGGGGAACCAGGAGUGCAAUACUGCCACUUCCAUCUCAAAGGCCACCUGGACAAUCAGGCACUUCACUGACAGAACUCCAGGCAAUUCAGGAAGAGGGGGAGGAACUAGGACAUUACACAAAUAGUCUGCUUUGGGACACACUUGUUCAGAUUAGACUCCAUCCACCUCUGCUUUAUAUGAUGGCAGUUCAGCUAAAUCAACCUUUUUUUCAUGUACAGCAAAUUACUCACUUUUUAACACAGACCCAAGACUAAAGUCUCUUGGGAUCUCAGCCAAACCUUAUUCAUGUGCAGCUUUGAGUUUCAUGCUUUAUUAAUUUAUUUCUAAGACAAGAAAUUGACUGCAAAGAUUAACAAGAACUUAUCC